rfam:Danio rerio chromosome 23, GRCz11 reference primary assembly.
GUAGGGUAUGGUGACAUGGUUCCUACUACCAUUGGAGGCAAAAUCGUGGGAUCCCUGUGUGCUAUCGCUGGUGUGCUGACCAUUGCAUUGCCUGUGCCUGUCAUAGUCUCAAAC